CGGGGGUGCGAGCGUUGUCCGGAAUCACUGGGCGUAAAGGGCGCGUAGGUGGUCUAAUAAGGGUGUGGUGAAAGCCCGGGGCUCAACCCCGGGUCGGCCGUGCCGACUGUUGGACUAGAGUGCUGUAGGGGCAGGCGGAAUUCCGGGUGUAGCGGUGGAAUGCGUAGAGAUCCGGAGGAAGACCGGUGGCGAAGGCGGCCUGCUGGGCAGUUACUGACACUGAGGCGCGACAGCGUGGGGAGCAAACAGGAUUAGAUACCCUGGUAGUCCACGCCGUAAACGAUGGGUACUAGGUGCCUGGGGGAGCGACCCCUUGGGUGCCGGCGCUAACGCAGGAAGUACCCCGCCUGGGGAGUACGACCGCAAGGUUG
rnacentral:rRNA from 1 species